rnacentral:rRNA from 1 species
AGAGUUUGAUCCUGGCUCAGAUUGAACGCUGGCGGCAUGCUUUACACAUGCAAGUCGGACGGCAGCACAGAGAAGCUUGCUUCUUGGGUGGCGAGUGGCGAACGGGUGAGUAAUAUAUCGGAACGUACCGAGUAAUGGGGGAUAACUAAUCGAAAGAUUAGCUAAUACCGCAUAUUCUCUGAGGAGGAAAGCAGGGGACCUUCGGGCCUUGCGUUAUUCGAGCGGCCGAUAUCUGAUUUAGCUAGUUGGUGGGGUAAAGGCCUACCAAGGCGACGAUCAGUAGCGGGUCUGAGAGGAUGAUCCGCCACACUGGGACUGAGACACGGCCCAGACUCCUACGGGAGGCAGCAGUGGGGAAUUUUGGACAAUGGGCGCAAGCCUGAUCCAGCCAUGCCGCGUGUCUGAAGAAGGCCUUCGGGUUGUAAAGGACUUUUGUCAGGGAAGAAAAGGCUGUUGCUAAUAUCGACAGCUGAUGACGGUACCUGAAGAAUAAGCACCGGCUAACUACGUGCCAGCAGCCGCGGUAAUACGUAGGGUGCGAGCGUUAAUCGGAAUUACUGGGCGUAAAGCGAGCGCAGACGGUUACUUAAGCAGGAUGUGAAAUCCCCGGGCUCAACCUGGGAACUGCGUUCUGAACUGGGUGACUAGAGUGUGUCAGAGGGAGGUAGAAUUCCACGUGUAGCAGUGAAAUGCGUAGAGAUGUGGAGGAAUACCGAUGGCGAAGGCAGCCUCCUGGGAUAACACUGACGUUCAUGCUCGAAAGCGUGGGUAGCAAACAGGAUUAGAUACCCUGGUAGUCCACGCCCUAAA